rnacentral:lncRNA from 12 species
AGCUCACAGCUGCAAAAGAAAAGCUCUCUGUGGUGCCUAUACAAUACAGCUUUGCUGAGGCAAAUCUUCUUAACCUUCUGACAUAUCAUUCUCAUUUGGCUCAUCUCUUGCUAGUGCAAAAUGCACUCUGUAUUUGGGGCUGAGACUCCAUGCAAGCCCCAGGAAGAAGCCCACAUUAGGAUACUGACAAAAUUUUGCAGAGAAGCAUGCAAAGCACAUUGUGAACUAGAUCUGCUGUACAACAGUGCUUAUUAAUGCAGCUUGCCAGUCUCUUCCAAAUAUCACAGUUGUCUUCACAUUUUGAAAAGCAAUUAAAAU